GACGAACGCUGGCGGCGUGCCUAAUACAUGCAAGUCGAGCGGACCGAAGGGAGCUUGCUCCUUUAGGUUAGCGGCGGACGGGUGAGUAACACGUAGGUAACCUACCUCAUAGCGGGGGAUAACUAUUGGAAACGAUAGCUAAUACCGCAUGACAAUAGGGUACACAUGUACCCUAUUUAAAAGGGGCAAAUGCUUCACUAUGAGAUGGACCUGCGUUGUAUUAGCUAGUUGGUAAGGUAACGGCUUACCAAGGCGACGAUACAUAGCCGACCUGAGAGGGUGAUCGGCCACACUGGGACUGAGACACGGCCCAG
rnacentral:rRNA from 1 species